ensembl:lncRNA
UGACCCUAACCUGAUCCUAUUGGCUGAAAUACCUGUUAAUCAGAACAGGGGGCUCCCCUCCUUGACACUACUCCUUUCCUACUGUAUGAUCCACCCCAAAACGUGCCCACCCUUCAAACCCUCUUCUCUCACUGUUAACCCCCCCCCAACCUCUCGUAAACCCGUACCUCUUUAUUAAAGAGUCUUUAUUCCCUACCAAACUCAAUGUCCACACUGACGCCACUCGUCAAACUGAAACAGGUGAUGUCAUUUUAGUGCCCCUUUACACCUAGAAUGCUAAUUCACUGUUGGCAUUAUAAGUCAUUUUGAUGAGAUAAGCCUGUAGGGAUUUGAUGAUCAUAGUCUUUGAUGUUACAUUUGCGUAUUUGAUAAUGGUGAAAUUGUAAUCUGAUUUUAAGUCCUUUUUUGGGUUAAAGGUUCUCUUCCUCCUUUUUGCGCUAACGCUCUCCUAUUUUUACUCUUUUCAGUGUAAAACUAAAUUGGCUAUACGUCAGGGGACUUUAUAGCCUGCUGGACUCUUUGGAUGAAUCUGAAAAGGGGGAAAUCUCCUACUUUCCUCCUUCUCCUGUAUGACCGAACAAGUCCUGCUUACGUCCCAUACGUUCAACUUCUGUCUGUUUCUGAACGUUUCUCCUCUGGACACUUCGUUCUAUGUGUUGCCCCAAUUUUGUAUUUAUUUGAUGAACUGUUUUUGUGGCGUCUUCCAGGAUGGAAUCGUGUUGAUGGAUAAAUGUGUAAACAGACAGACUGCCUCAAUUUAAAAUUAAAUGCACACAAACCAUCUGGCUUUUCUGUUAAUGUUGGAAUUUCCAGGUAUUGGUUGCUUUGAUGGGAUGGUAAGAUUCACCAUCUUUAUCCCCUCACUCCUUAGUCCACCCUCUGACCUCUAACCCCUGAUCCUGUAUACCUCCCCUAUGUCACUUUCAUUUUGCUCCUCUCCUUUUGUUGUUUUUCUCCCUUUCUCCCCUCCCUUUCUCUCUUGUCUCGUUGGGCUUUGCAUGUGGUUCUGCAGUGAAUUCUCUUCUGUAGUGGAUUGAAUUCUCUUCUGUGGAGUGUGGUAUGAGCCGGAGGUGUGGUAAGAUGAGUGGCAUGGGCGUGUGUGAUGCGUUGUGUGAUUGUUUCAGUGUGUGGUUGUGUACACGGCAGCUAAAUGAUAAGUAAUGAAUGUAAAUAUGAUUUAAGAUAAAAACAUAGACGUAGUACUUUAUCGGAAUAUUCUGUUAUAUUACAGGCUAGUGUUAUGUAGGCGUGAGUAGUGUAUUUCACAUGCCCUGCAAAUACUCUUACUUAUUUCGUGUUGUAAAGCUUCCUCAGGCAGUGUUUCAAAGGCCCAUGCCAUCUUUACUGAUUCAUAUCUUUUUCUGUCUCUCUCUCUCACUCUUUUUUAAAAUUUCAGGUGAGGAAGCAGCAGCCUGGGGAGUAGAGGAGGAAGCAGAGGAGGCGGCUGAGGAGGGAGGAGAGGAGGAGGAGGCAGCAGCAGAAGAGGCUGGAGAGGAGGCUGCAGUUGAGGAGGCUGUAGCGGCGGAAAACGGAGCAGAACCCGCGGAAGAGGCCUCAGUCGAGGCAGAAGCAGAGGCCGAGGCAGUCUCUGAAGAACCGGCUGUGGAGGCAGCGGCAGUAGAGGCAGAGGUGGCACCAGCGGAAGCGGAGACUGUGGUGGAGGAGAUUACAGAGGCUGUUGCUGAGGUCGCAGAAGAGGUCAUCGAGGUGGCAAAUGAAGUGGAGGCAGUAGCAGAGGAAGUGGCCGUGGAAGAGGCUGCUGAGGAGGCAGUUGCCGUGGAAGAGCCGGAGGAGGAGAUCAACGUGGAACCAGUCAUUCUGGCAGCAGCCUCUGCUUUGGAGGUGACGACAGUCGCUGAAGUGGUCAAAGAAGUGGUUGUGCCUAUUGUAGAAGAAGUCGAGGAGGCCGCCUCAGUGGAGUCCCCAGCUGCAGUGGAGGAGGCCACAGCUGCAGUGGAGGAGGGAACAGCUGCAGUGGAGGAGGCCACAGCUGCCCCACUUGAGGCUGCACCCGUAGAAGAGGACCCAGCUGCAGUGGAGGAGCCCCCAGCUGCUCAACUUGAGGCUGCACCUGUAGAAGAGGCCCCGGCUGCAGUGGAGGAGGCCCCGGCUGCAGUGGAGGAGGCCCCGGCUACAGUGGAAGAGGCCCCGGCUGCAGUGGAAGAGGCCCCGGCUGCAGUGGAAGAGGCCCCGGCUGCAGUGGAAGAGGCCCCGGCUGCAGUGGAAGAGGCCCGGCUGCAGUGGAAGAGGCCCCGGCUGCAGUGGAAGAGGCCCCGGCUGCAGUGGAAGAGGCCCCGGCUGCAGUGGAAGAGGCCCCGGCUGCUGUGGAAGAGGCCCCGGCUGCUGUGGAGGAGGCCCCGGCUGCUGUGGAGGAGGCCCCAGCUGCCCCACUUGAGGCUGAACUCAUUGAAGAGGCUGCAGUGAAGGAGGCCCCAGCUGCAGUGGAGGAGGCUGCAGUGGAGGAGGCCCCAGCUGCCCCACUUGAGGCCACACCCGUAGAAGAGGCCCCAACCAUAGAAGAGACCCCACCUGAGGUGGAGGAGGCUGCAGUGGAGGAGGCCCCAGCUGCAGUGGAGGAGGUCCCAGCUGCCCCACCCGUAGAAGAGUCCCCACCCGUAGAAGAGGCUGCGAUGAAAGAGGCCCCAGCUGCAGUGGAGGCUGCCCCAGUUGUGGUGGUGGCACCUGUGGAGGCGCCCAAGAAGGAGUACAUUGUAGUGGUGCUGGAGGGAGCAGCCAAGACUGAUAAGAGGCCCAAAGUCCUGGGGGUCGGCCCCAUGACCGGCAGGAUCAUCCCAUCUCCAGACGAUGAUGAGGCCCCUGCUGCUGAGGGCAAGCGACGGCUGCUUAGGAUGCAGAUGCAGUAGAACCACCUGACAGUAAGCACUUGGAGCCCCUGGAUGAUAUACAGUUUCUCUACCCUGAGGGAGAAGAGGGGAUGUGCCUUCCCCAACCCCCCUUUCAUUGACCUCUCCACACACUUUGACCUUUGACCCUUGAUAUUGAAUAUUGAUCUGUAGUAUAAAACUUGUCUUCUCGUCUUGGUCUAGGGAAUUAUCUGUGUAUAUAUUCAGAUAAUGCCUGCUUUAUGGAAAAAUACAUGAUCUGGUAUGUUUUUCUAGAUGUACAACACCCCUCAAAUUCCCCUCCCCCCAAAAAAGUCCCCCUCCGUCACACCGGGCAAGCUAAAUUAUAAUAAUCUGGGAAUAUUUGACCAUGGAAACAUUCCUGGUUGACGUCAGGAGAAUGUAACUGUUUGCCAAAGUUACACAAGUUUGCCAAAAUACCUUAGACUAACUAUUGGACUGAAAUAGUUAUAUAUUAACUUAAUUUUGUAGCUCUCCAUUAGAAGCUGGCAGGAACUGGGCCCAGCAGAAUUUGACCCAAUGUGAUUGGUUGACGAUAUGACACAUUGGCUCGCUAGCCUAUACCCUACGUUUUGUCGGGUUGGAAUGCAAUCAAUGUCAAUUCUGAUCAAAUGGAUGGGAACUCUAAAUUGAAAUACGCAGUGGUGGAAAAAGUACUACAUUUUCAUACUUGAGUAAAAGUAAAGAUGCCUUAAUAGAAAAUGACUAAGGUUAAAGUGAAAGUCACCCAGUAAAAUACUACUUGAGUAAAAAAAAUGUAUUAAAGGUUUUAAAUAUAUUUAAGUAUCAAAUAUAAUUGCUAAAACGUAUCAAAAGUAAAAGUAUAAAUCAUUUCAAAUUCCUUAUUAAGCAAAUCAGACAACACCAUUUUCGUGAUAUCCAAUUGGUAGUUAGUCUUUCCCAUCGCUGCAACUCCCGUACGGACUCGGGAGAGACAAGACCCUGCCAAGCCUCACUGCUUCUUGAUACACUGCUCUCUUAAUCCAAAAGCCAGCCACACCAAUGUGUCGGAGGAAACAACUGGUGGCGGAAGUCAGCUUGCAGGCACCCGGCCCGCCACAAGGACUUGCUAGAGCACGAUGGGACAAGGACAUCCCAGCCGGGCCAAACCCUCCACAAUUUAAAUAAAAUAUAAUAAAUAUUAUGGAUAGCCAAGAGCACACUCUAACACCGACAUAAUUUACAAACAACGCAUUUGUGUUUAGUGAGUCCACCAGAUCUGAGGCAGUAGGGAUGACCAGGGAUGUUCUUUUGAUAAGUGCUUGAAUUGGACCAUUUUCCUGCCCUAAGCAUUCAAAAUGAAACACGUACUUUUGGGUGUCAGGGAAAAUGUAUGGUGUAUAAAGUAUAAAAAAUAUACUUGAGUAGUACUUUAAAGUAUUUUUACUUUACACCACUAGAAAAACAGAAGAAAUGUACAUUUUUUUGUGACUAAGUCAGGACACCUGAAAAGUGGCUGAAAAACAGGACUGUCCUGUGAAAAAACGGGACAUAUGGUCACCCUAACACAAAGGGUCAACCUACUAGACUACAAUGUUAAUCACAAUUAACUUUGAACACCGGUAGGCUUACACAUGAACACAUACAGGCUUCCGAAAAAUACAUCUGAUCGAAUAUCAACUUCAAUAGGGUAAAAUAACAAUAGACUACAUCACCAAUACUCAAAUGAUCAUUAUUUUCUCCUUUUAGGGGAGCUCCCCUGUAAUUUGCACCGUGGUCAUGCCCUUGACUAUCCUCCCCAUGCCCUAGUUUACUUCACCUAAGAAACUUCACAAUGGUGUUUCAUAAUUCAUCAUCAUCCAAUGCAAUACUACAUCUGAUGCUUAGCCACCAAAAGUCAACCACUAAUUGCUUCAGGACUGGGCAGGACAAGGUGGGGUUUUGGUGUGACCAGCAUUCUUUAACUAUCCUCAGGUUUUUCCUCGUUGAGCCGAUUCCAAUGUGAACAUAAGUAUUUAACUCUCAAAGACAUAGUGAUCGGAGACUCUCUAUUUCUGAGUCACUGGCUUGUUUUUGGGAGACGAGACACGGUAGACUACCUCGGCAUUCCUCCUCUUUUCCCCCAGCUGAUGAUCCACAGACCUUUUAUUAAUGCAGUCGGAGUAUUAAAGUUGAACCAACCUUCUCAGUUGCAAGACAGACAUGGGAUUAUUUUGGGGGAAAUGAGCAUGAUGAGAGUCGGUCAGGUUUUCACAUUCAGUGAUAUCGCUUAAGCUAGACUAGCAUAUUUCAUGAUAUCGCUAUUCAGCAAUAUUUCACAAGGCAGACAUUUUUGUCUCUUUACUUUCUCCCACACCCUCUGUUGUAGAGUUGUUCUCUCUGUUUCCACACCAUGGCUAUAGAAUACACAGCUGUUGGAUAGACAAUCCAUUUGUGAAGCUGUAUCUGAAAUAGAAAAAAGCCAUUUGUUUGAGUGUAUAAUGUGGUUUCCGAGUCUGGUAUAAACAGUCGUGUGUUGUUAUCAUAUGAAAGUUGCAUUUUUACUCAAGUCAGGCUUGUGUGGUUGCAUAAGUUAAUUCGAUGGCUCAGUAAAGCGUGUUGCUAUGAUUUUGUCUGCUUUUCAAAUGAUAUGACUUAUUAGUUUGUGUUAGAUUCAUGUAUAAAUGUUCAACUUUGUCAAAACCAGUUAAAAUAAUCGGUGGGCCAAUACAAGGCUCUCACUGUACUCUACAGAUUUGUUGUAGAACUAGUUCUUCUCACUUUCCUUCCCUCACUUUAUAUAUUGGAGUUCUUGCUAUGUUUAGGCAUAUUUGAAAAGGGACUGAGACCAUUGAUAAGUGAAUGUAAGCUUAUUCCUAAUUAAGGAGUGGGAUAAUUCAAUUUGUCUGUCCUAAUGUUUGCAGGCACUUUUUGUAUGGGAUAUAUAUGGUACCAGUCAAACGUUUGGACACACCUACUCAUUCCAGAGUUUUUCUUUAUUUGUACAUAUAUUUUUUUUUACAUUGUAGGAUAAUAGUAAUAAAGACAUCAACUGUGAAAUAAAACAUAUGGAAUCAUGUAGUAACCAAAAAAGUGUUAAACAAAUCAAAAUAUGUUUUAUAUUUGAGAAUCUUCAAAGUAGCCACCCUUUGCCUUGACAGCUUUGCACACUCUUGGCAUUCUCUCGAACCAGCUUCAUGAGGUAGUCACCUGGAAUGCAUUUCAAUUAACAGGUGUGCCUUGUUAAAGUUCAUUUGUGGAUUUUCUUUCCUUCUUAAUGCAUUUGAGCCAAUCAGUUGUGUUGUGACAAGGUAGGAUAGGUAUACAGAAGAUAGCACUAUUUGGUAAAAGACCAAGUCCACAUUAUAGAAAGAACAGCUAAAAUAAGCAAAAAUAAAUGACAGUCCAUCAUUACUUUAAGACAGGAAGGUCUGUCAAUUCGUAAAAUGUUAAGGACUUUGAACGUUUCUUCAAGUGCAGUCACAAAAACCAUCACGUGCUAUGGUGAAACUGGCUCUCAGGACCGCCACAGGAAAGGAAGACCCAGAGUUACCUCUGCUGCAGAGGAUAAGUAAUUUACCUUCCUCAGAAAUCGGCACUUAUCUGCACCCCAGAAAUGGCAGUCCAAAUAAAAUGAAAUGGCAGCUCUUCUUCACAGAGUUCAAGUAACAGACACAUGUCAACAUCAACUGUUCAGAGGAUACUGCGUGAAUCAGGCCUUCAUUAGACUGGUGGAAAUCUGUCCCUUGGUCUGAUGAGUCCAAAUGUUAGAUUUUUGGUUCCUACUGCCGUGUCUUUGUGAGAUGCAGAGUAGGUGAACGAAUGAUCUCCGCAUGUGUGGUUCCCACUGCGAAGCAUGGAUGAGGAAGUGUGGGGGUGCUUUGCUGGUGAAACUGAUUUAUUUAGAAUUCAAGGCACACUUAACCAGCAUGGCUACCACAGCAUUCUGCAGUGAUACGCCAUCCCAUCUGGUUUGCGCUGAGUGGGACUAUCAUUUGUAUUUCAACAGGACAAUGACCCAACACAGCUCCAGGCUGUGUUUGGGAUAUUUGACCAAGAAGGAGAGUGAUGGAGUGCUGCAUCAGAUGACCUGACCUCCACAAUCACCCAACCUCAACCCAAUUGAAAUGGUUUGGGAGGAGUUGGACUGCAGAGUGAAGGAUAAGCAGCCAACAAGUGCUCAGCACAUUUGGGAACUCCUUCAAGACUGUUGGAAAAGCAUUCCAGGUGACUACCUCAUGAAGCUGAUCGAGAGAAUGCCAAGCGUGUGCAGAGCUGUCAUCAAGGCAAAGGGUGGCUACUUUGAAGAAUCUCAAAUAUAAAACAUAUUUUGAUUUGUUUAACACUUUCUUGUUUACUACAUGACUCCAUAUGUGUUAUUUCAUAUUUGAUGUCUUCACUAUUAUUCUACAAUGUAGGAAAUAGUCAAAAUAAAGAAAAACCCUUGAAUGAGUAUGUGUCCAAACUUUUGACCGGUACUGUAUAUAGAGGCUUGUUCUGUCAUGUGAGUGGAUGGCUUGCCACUGUGCAAUGGCCUAGCAUGGGCCAGAAACUGACUGUGAAACAACAUUGCUGUUUUUCUGAAA